AAAGUCGAGUCAGAACUUUCGUCAGCUGCCAACUCUGUAAGUAUGAUUCUUAUUUUUGUAAGCAUAAAAUAGGAUUUUUGUAAAAACCUAUUAUUAUUAAGUAACCAAAUAAACGCUACAUCUGUUUGGUUUGCAUUUAUCAGUGACACGUGGGGUAGUUGGCUAAGAGUUUCUCGCAACAACGAAUUUCCCAAGUGACUACAAUGUCAUCAAUUCCUUUGUUCCCUGGUACAAAAGCUGUGCUCUAUUCUGAUAGUUGGACAAUGAGCCGGUGGCAUUCUCGAACGACCUUUGAAACUUGGAAUGAUUUGAAAAACAAUGUAAGGCAGAAAGUAUCAUUACUGGGUAAGAAUAAUUCAAAAUUUGAUGGAGAAUCUCCUAUUUAUAUAAAAUUGUCAUCUCUUGAGAAGAGAGUGACAGGAAUGAUAGGUUGGGUUGUGACUGAAAUUCAUCCAUCAGCUGAAUCUUCUUUCAUUCCUGCAAACCAG
rnacentral:lncRNA from 1 species